AUUGAACGCUGGCGGCAGGCCUAACACAUGCACGUCGAGCGGAGCGGCGGACGGGUGAGUACUGCCUCGGAAUCUGCCUGGUAGUGGGGGAUAACGUCCGGAAACGGGCGCUAAUCCCGCAUACUAUCAGAUGAGCCUAGGUCGGAUUCGCUAGUUGGUUGGUUAAAGGCCUACCAAGGCGACGAUCCGUAACUGGUCUGAGAGGAUGAUCAGUCAAACUGGAAAUGAGACACGGUCCAGAAUCCGACGGUAUGCAGAAGUGGGGAAUAGUGGACAAUGGGCGAAAGCCUGAUCCAGCCAUGCCGCGUGGGUGAAGAAGGUCUUCGGAUUGUAAAGCACUUUAAGUUGGGAGGCGUUACCAACAGAAUAAGCACCGGCUAACUUCGUGCCAGCAGCCGCGGUAAUAC
rnacentral:rRNA from 1 species